rnacentral:rRNA from 1 species
AGUGAACGCUGGCGGUAGGCCUAACACAUGCAAGUCGAACGGCAGCACAGUAAGAGCUUGCUCUUACGGGUGGCGAGUGGCGGACGGGUGAGGAAUACAUCGGAAUCUACUUUUUCGUGGGGGAUAACGUAGGGAAACUUACGCUAAUACCGCAUACGACCUACGGGUGAAAGCAGGAGAUCUUCGGACCUUGCGCGUUUGAAUGAGCCGAUGUCGGAUUAGCUAGUUGGCUGGGUAAAGGCCCACCAAGGCGACGAUACGUAGCUGGUCUGAGAGGAUGAUCAGCCACACUGGAACUGAGACACGGUCCAGACUCCUACGGGAGGCAGCAGUGGGGAAUAUUGGACAAUGGGCGCAAGCCUGAUCCAGCCAUACCGCGUGGGUGAAGAAGGCCUUCGGGUUGUAAAGCCCUUUUGUUGGGAAAGAAAAGCAGCAGGAGAAUACCCCGCUGUUCUGACGGUACCCAAAGAAUAAGCACCGGCUAACUUCGUG